rnacentral:rRNA from 1 species
UAAUGCCUAGGAAUCUGCCUGGUAGUGGGGGACAACGUUUCGAAAGGAACGCUAAUACCGCAUACGUCCUACGGGAGAAAGCAGGGACCUUCGGGCCUUGCGCUAUCAGAUGAGCCUAGGUCGGAUUAGCUAGUUGGUGAGGUAAUGGCUCACCAAGGCGACGAUCCGUAACUGGUCUGAGAGGAUGAUCAGUCACACUGGAACUGAGACACGGUCCAGACUCCUACGGGAGGCAGCAGCA